AGCGAACGCUGGCGGCAGGCCUAACACAUGCAAGUCGAGCGCCGUAGCAAUACGGAGCGGCAGACGGGAGAGUAACACGUGGGAACGUACCCUUUGGUUCGGAACAACCCAGGGAAACUUGGGCUAAUACCGGAUAAGCCCUCACGGGGAAAGAUUUAUCGCCGAAGGAUCGGCCCGCGUCUGAUUAGCUAGUUGGUGGGGUAAUGGCCCACCAAGGCGACGAUCAGUAGCUGGUCUGAGAGGAUGAUCAGCCUGACUGGACUGAGACACGGCCCAGACUCCUACGGGAGGCAGCAGUGGGGAAUAUUGGACAAUGGGCGCAAGCCUGAUCCAGCCAUGCCGCGUGGGUGAUGAAGGCCCUAGGGUUGUAAAGCCCUUUCGGCGGGGAAGAUAAUGACGGUACCCGCAGAAGAAGCCCCGGCUAACUUCGUGCCAGCCGCCGCCGUAACAC
rnacentral:rRNA from 1 species